ensembl:lncRNA
CAGCCGUGGGCUGCUGGGGCGCAGGCAGCGGGUGCGGUGGCGGCUGGUGCCCUGCCAGCCCCGCGCCGGGCUCCCGCCUCCAGUGGGUGGAAGCCUCACGUGGGGACUGGCUCGGUCCUGCUCCCACGGCCAGACCUCGUCCAUCACUUGCGUGGCCCUUGGUCGUGGAAAUAAUAGUACCUCUUUACCACAGAAGGUGUUGCAAGAGGAAUUUGUGAAGAACUGUCUGGCAGUUGGGUACUACAGGGAUGGAGGCCACAGAUGUAUCUAUAGAGGCAGAAAAAAGCCUUGAACUAAAGACGGUAAGAAAAUCAACAAAGAGGCUGAGUGAGAAUGGCCAGUUCAAGACUAAGAGAAGGAAGUAGUAUGUUACCCAGCCUACACUUUGCUAGAGGAACUCACUGCUACCAGUUAUCCUUGAGGUCUGGAUUCAUGACUCCGGAGAGGUUAGGAUAUCUGGAGAACAGCAAGCAUGUGAAGAGUUUGAACAGCUUCUUCUGUCUUUAUAGAACAAAGACUUGACUUUGUAACGCUAUGCAUCAGGAGGAAAAUCGCAAGUUCUUUAAAAGAUCUUCAGCCAGCACAUGUCCUCAGUGUCAAAUAUUGGAGGUAUUUAAAGGAUAGCUUUUCUGGUGAAUUUGAAAUAUUUGGGAUUUAUUAUGGAUCAAGAUAUUCCAUCUAUGUUUUGACUUGACUGAGAAAUAUAUGUGAAAGAUGAAUGUGACUUUCAGCUUUAUCUGCUUUCCCACAUAUUCUGUACAUAUGGCACCCUGCAGAGAUCCUGCCGCUGGACUGAAACCUGAAAUCCACACCUUACUUGUUCAAACACUGGUUUGCUCUGAGUUUUGCCACAGCAAGAACUGAGUGAAAACUGUAUGUACUUUUGGGCUUGUGAUCUUUUGGGUAGCCAUUGCUGGUUCUUCCUGCAAAACCAAGGAAGAAGUUUUUGUUAUGCAGACACGGGAAAUAUAGGCAGUGCAUCUGGGUUUGAAAGCUCAGAAAAUCAGCCCACAAAUUCCAAAUAUAAGGACUGGAGUCUCCUCUGGGGUUGUCAACAUUGUCUUCGACAGGUUAGCAUUACCGUGGAGGAGGUUGUCCACAGUCCCAGAGCUGGGAGAAUGAAAGAACUGAAGUUUUGUCUGGCAGUGCAUGGGUUGAGAAGGAAGAUAAGUUCAUUUCUUUCUUCCUCUUCCUUUUGCUCACAUUUGCACAUGGAGGACCUCAAGAAAGGCAGAUAA